GAGGACCGUAUUCAUGGAAGAGGAUUGAACAGUAAAGAACCCAGCAAUUGGUAAAGAUGAGAAUAUAUCGCCUCAAGUAAAAGGAGAUGAAGACAUGGGAGAUGAAAUUGACAGUAUGUUGGCUACAUCUGGAGGUCUUUUCUCCUGAGAACACGGGACUCCAGCAUCUUCGGAUUCUGCUCUUGGAGGUGUGAGUCCCUGCCUCUCUGCACAGGGGAACUUAUGUCUCUCCACAUGUCCGCAAAUGUCUACCCAAGAUUAUACAUCUUCCAAAGGCUUUCAAAUACUUCUUUACAUAAACAAGAUGUGUGCAGCUGAACAGAGCGUUGAGGAAACGUCAGUGAUUUUAUAACUACUUAUCAUGUUGGGAGAUUGUUGUGAUGAUUGCCUGGACUCUCAGAUGUUACACAGGCUGCAUCAUUGGACUGAAAGUGAAUGGCCCAUGUGUUGCCACUGAUGUGAGCCAUUUGCCUGUUGUGCUUCAA
rnacentral:precursor_RNA from 1 species